CACCCUCUCUCUAUCACCAAAUUCUGAAUUAUUUUUCACGUUGAAUAUAAUUGCCAAGUGGAAAGGCUCAUUAGUUUUUGUAUUUACUGGUGAAUCCUAUAUCUGAUUAUGACAUCUUGUUUCUUUCUUUUUUAUCAUUAUUUUCAAAUAGAGUAUUUGUUGCAUCAAUCUGAUGUGGAGCAGUCAAUAUUGGCGUCACCUAUCAUCCUCGAGUCAAUUCUAAGUUCCCUCUUCUUUAACUUCCACCACCUUCUUGUGUGUGUGCUUAAUCGCUUUCCUUAUUUAUUUAUUUCUUUUUCUUGUAGGUCGGGUGGGGGGUUGGCAUAAAAGGGAAAAAAUCUCCCUUUAGAUAGUAUUUAUUUUGGUUUCCUUGCAGAUAAAAGUAUGUGCUUAUAAGGAACUGAUCUGGCAUGAUGGAAAAUUUUGGUUGGCAAAUUCUUGAAAAGGUGUAACACAGAGUAGGAUUCUUUUAGCAGCAAAGUUGGCUGUGUGACUUUAAACAUGAUGGAGCCCAUUUGAAACCUUUUCUUACAUCAGCAAUGGCUUGAUAUGAGUAGAUAAACUUGACAAAUGGAAGAAUCCACUUUGACAUUUUCCACAUACUGCCUUGGCUAUAUUCCCACUGAAUUUGAUUCUUUAGUUGUUAUAUGACAAACCUUCACCACAUCUAGUUAGUUUCAGAAACUUGUGGCACUUUAUACCCUCUUUGCUACAAAGCUUUCUCUCGCUCACUGCCCUUUACUACUGGACAUGUAUCUAUCGACCGGCCCUUGGUUGUGCUUAGAGGCAGAGCCAGGAUUUGAAAUUUAUGGGUUCGGAAUUCAGAGCUAGCUCCGCCCCUUGUUGUGCUACCGGACAUGCAGGCACGUGUCAUGAUCUUGUUAUAGAACUUGACAUAGAGACCCCGAUUCGGGCAAGAACAGCUUGAUUAUGAAGGUCCUAUAACUUUUGUGUUUUCCGUUGAUACAAAUAUUUCUGUCUUUGGAUAUCUUUAGACCUGCCUAGGUUCCAUCUGGGGCGGGAGAUACCCUGCGUUUAACAGACGUGUAGUGAACUAGUGAUCACGACAUGAAACAGCUUCGAAACGGACAUGUUCGAUGCGUUUAAUUUUGUGAUAAUACAGUCAUGGCUGUCUUUGACAACAACUAAUUUUCAAAUUUGGCUGUGAAACAUGGCUGCUGAAAUGUAUGUUAUUAUACUCUUCGGCAGAUGGUGAUGGUUUCUUAGUCUUGAUUCAGUUAAUGUAAUGUGUAUAUUAAUUGGAUUUUGCGUGCACAGGUAGUCGAAGACGGCGCAGCUUCCAUUUUCUAUUUCACACUGCUAACUUGGCUGGGGAAUUGCUUAUUGGACUUGAAGUCAUGAUCAAUA
rnacentral:lncRNA from 1 species